UCAAAAGGUCCAAGCAUAGUGG
rnacentral:siRNA from 1 species